UUGAUUGUGCAGGCUUGUUGUCAGUAGUAAUGGAAAAGGAACAAAAUGAGGCUUUUGCUUGGGUUUAAUUUUUGCUUCAAUUUAACCUAAACAAGUGAUAAAAACAACAACUGAAAAUCUUCCCCUUAGGACUAUGUCGCAGAUAAAGGAUGGAACUUCUGUAAGAAAAGACUGAUACUUCAAAGUCCAGGAUGCGUCCUGUUCUGGGAUACCAUGGUGCAAGUGAUUUGAGACUGAUCCAGUAUGCCUCAGAGGAAGAGUAUGGAGAACCUGAAGGCCACCAGAGAUAAGAACAAGGAUUCACCCUUCACACAUCCCUCAACUUUGGGCUAUAAGGACCUGAGAAGGAACCAUUUGAGGCAAGCAGGUUCCUAAAAUCUGAGCCAUGUGGUACAUUCACAGGCCAUGUGUGGUCAUACUUCAGCUGGUGCCUGAGAGGAAGCAUUGGAAGGACCUUGCUGAAAUAUCCCUAAUAGCCAUGAUGUCCCCUGGGAAAUGGAUCAAGCUGAUACUAUCUCUGAGUGGAGAAAUAUGGAGAUAUAAUGAAUUUGAUUAUACAGCUGCUUGACAGGCAGAUGCCAAAGGACCCUCAAAGGCCUAUCCCUCAGCAAGGGCCACUUCAUCUCCACUAAAGCAUCCUUGCAGAGCAAACUGAGUAGAAAGAAUUUUCUCUAACAGAGUAGCUUUCAAAAACUCUAAUAGGCAUGAUAGAAAAUACUUCCCGAACAGUUUAUUUUGCUGAUCUUCCUCUGAGGAUACCUUUGCUCAUUUUUAACUCAGUGGAAAAAAUGUCUUUGUAUAUCAGAUGCAGCAUGUAUAAAAAGACAUGCAUUAUUUAUGCAUAAACCUUCUUUACUGAAACCUCUGGUUUGUGCAGAUUUUUGGUUCUCUGACCUUUCCUUAACCUAAUUUUUUAUUUUGUUCUUAGAAUGAAAAGCAAUACUAUAUUUACUGAAUUUUAAUCUGCAUGGGAUUUGUACAUUAAACUUUGCUAUGUUAGAGAAA